rnacentral:rRNA from 1 species
GUAUAAGAGACAGCAGUAGCCGCGGGAACACGGAGGGUGCAAGCGUUAAUCGGAAUUACUGGGCGUAAAGCGCACGCAGGCGGUCUGACAAGUCAGAUGUGAAAUCCCCGGGCUUAACCUGGGAACUGCAUUUGAAACUGUCAGGCUGGAGUCUUGUAGAGGGGGGUGGAAUUCCAGGUGUAGCGGUGAAAUGCGUAGAGAUCUGGAGGAAUACCGGUGGCGAAGGCGGCCCCCUGGACAAAGACUGACGCUCAGGUGCGAAAGCGUGGGGAGCAAACAGGAUUAGAUACCCCGGUAGUCCCUGUCUCUUAUAC